AUGAUUCAGCUCAGGGAAUAAACAAAAUGGAGUUUCCUCCCUGGGGAGAGGCAUGAGCAGCAGGUGAGCAGUGGGAAUACCAGCACCCUGCUGUCACAGCCCAAGACUGUCAUUACCUUACACCACAUGUAAUUAAAGCCACAAAUCAGUCACACUGAACUCAUUUGUUCAGUCCUCAUUCACUUGCUUGGUGGAGGGGAAUCAUCUGAAAGCAGCUGAAAUCAUGGCAUCAGGUCACCUAAUACACAUGGGUUUCAGCUGUGAAGUCAGACUCUGGCUAUGUAUUCUUCAAACUUAAAAUCAGAUAACCUCUGUCAGAUCCUUUUUCCAGUUCUUCAUGCCUAUUUCUUCUGUUGCAAAGAUAUGUUUGAAAUUACUGAUAAAUCAGGAAAUGUUUGAGAACAGAGCAUAUAUGGAGUUUAUACCAGAUUUUAAAACAAAAUUUAUUGUCUAAAAGAGGAAUCUAGGAGCUCUCCCUUCUAUGAAAGUAAAUUUCAGCACUCAGAAAAGAAGAUCCAAGUACCAUUAGUUUUACCUCCACUGACAGCAUGCUCAGACUGAGAUAAGAAUCAGAGCAUUUCACACCCAUGAGUGGUUUUCUUCAGACAGGAAUGAGCUUCUCAAGAUACUCCAGUUUUUACACCAGUGUUUGUACAGACUGGUUCCAGGUGCCAUGCGGGAACCAGCUGUGGCACAGCCCUUCCUGCCAGUGAGUGCCAGCAGGAUUUGGGAUCCUUCCAGCCCUGUGCAGCUGUAUAUAUCUGGGAAGCAGUAAUCAUGCUGUGUCAUAGAAUUUAACCCAGGCACAGAGGAUGAGGGUCCGUUCCCAAUCCCAAGGCAAUCAUCAGUUAAUGAACUCUGAUUUGUUUCUUACAAAUGGUUAGUCCUUUGCCAACCUGUUCCCUGUUUGCCAAACCACUGUCCUGACAUCUAGACACUGUCUAGACUUCUGGGCCAGACCUACUGUUAGCUGGUUAAAAGGAUUGAGGACAGUUUUCUUCACUAUUUUUUGUAUUUGCUUUCACAUGCUUCAGGCAAAUUCUUGCACCAUCAGCACCUGUAAGCGGAAUCCUCUUGAGCUGAUUAUUCCUUGGCAGGAACUUCUCCCGAGGUCACUACAGGUUUCCAAGACUGAAUGCCUCCCUGAUGUGCUUCAUGCCCACAGGGUUUGUGACACUGCUCUGAGGUCCAUCAUACCUAAGGGUUCUGUUUACUUCAGCAGUGCACAUUUCUCAAUAGUUCCUAAGGCAUCUGCACUGCUAUGGGACUAUUUGGGUGAUGAGGAAAUUUGCAGUGCUUUGCUCUGAAAUGUCUGAAGACAACACACCCAAAAGGCAAAAAGGUCUUGAGAACACAUUCCUGUGAGGUUUGCAGGAGGACCCUGAGUCUGCAAGUCAAACAAACAAGAAACCCACAUGGUCUUGGAGUCAGACUGGAUCAACCCUUUUUCCUCAAGGUGUAGAACUUUCAUCUGACCUGCUGGUGACUCCUCACUUUUGUCUCAUGUGAAAGUAAAACAAGCUCCACACAAGACACUGUAUAGUGGGAAAAUGAAGUCUCUUCCUGCUGACUUUGAGACCUUUCCCCUGGCACCAUAUGUUUUCAAAGAAGGAUAAGUUGCUACAGGCCAGUGUAUUUCAGCCUUCCCUGCUGUUCCUCUGAUUCAAAGCAGAUCUGAAUUGGCUGCAUCAGAUAUAUUUAAGAGUGAAGAGAAAAGGCACAUUGCUUUGAACUUAUUUCUGUAGUGCUUCUUGGGAUGGAUGCCUUAAAGUCAACAGACAUUUGGCCACUGACCAGAAUCCAGCACUCAAGGACAGUGGAGAUUGUGGACAUAUCUAUAUUUUGGUUCAGUUUAGGGUUGCACAUUUGAACUGAAUCUCCCAAACAUAGCAGUAAUAAUUAGUUAAAUGUAUGAUUCCUGA